rnacentral:rRNA from 1 species
ACGCUCGACACCUACGGGGGCAGCAGUGGGGAAUAUUGCACAAUGGGGGAAACCCUGAUGCAGCGACGCCGCGUGAGCGAUGAAGUAUUUCGGUAUGUAAAGCUCUAUCAGCAGGGAAGAAACUGACGGUACCUGACUAAGAAGCACCGGCUAAAUACGUGCCAGGAGCCGCGGUAAUCUGAGCGGGCUGGCAAGGC